CUGACAUAGACCACGAUGAUGUCGCCCUUGAAGUUCAUCACCUGCCCGCUGGAGAUGAACGUGGAGUUACUGUUUCCAGUCACGUUUCCUGCAGGGAGAGGAAGGGAGAACACGGGGAGGAACAGAUUAGUCGUUCACAUCAGAGAGUUCACAUCUGAUCUGCGAUGGUGACAUCAAUAGGUCACCAUGUUGGCAGCUGUAUAAUCAGGACACUAGGUGAGCCCAGGGAAGCUAGUGCCAGCCCUUCCAGGACCCUCCUCGUCCAGUUCCCUAAAGCAGACUGAAGAACUGGGAGGCUGACAGUGACUUGGAGGAACAAGCAGGAUACAACGGUCUUGUGUUCAUCUAUUUAUUCCUGAAUGGAUGAAUGAAUGUGAGAAUAAGCAUCUAUUCAUUUAACAUACUGAGAUACUAGAAAGGUGAGGCUAUGAAAAUUCUUUUUUUUUUGGGGGGCAGGGAUGGAAUCUCACUGUGUCACCCAGGCUAGACUGCAGUGGCGCAAUCUCAGCUCACUGCAACCUCUGCCUCCCCAGCUCAAGCAAUUCUCCUGCCUCAUCCUCCUGAGUAGCUGGGAUUACAGGCACCUGUCACCAUGCCUGGCUAAUUAUUUUUCUAUUUUUAGAAGAGAUAGGGUUUCCCCAUGUUGGCCAGGAUGGUCUGGAACUCUUGACCUCAAGUGUCCACCCACCUCAGCCUCCCAAGUGUUGGGAUUACAGGCAUAAGCCGCCACACAUGGCCGGAAUUCCUACUGACUGGUGGUUGCUGCCUAGAGCUGGGGUGUCGACAGGGUGGGAGUAUCCAGGCUGGUGAGAAAGACCGAAGAAUCAUUAAAACAACAGGCCACAGGUCGGAGGGGCAGGCUGUGGAAGGUCUGGAUUUCUCAAAUGAUGGAUUGCUUUUCACAUCAUCCGCUCCCUGGCAUUAAUCCCUACUUGUUUUCCAGGCUUUGUUUUUCAAGUCUCUGUGGCUUAGUGGAAUUUCGGUAAAGGUUUGAUUGAAAAACAAAUAGGUAUUCGGUGUU